rnacentral:misc_RNA from 1 species
AGCGGUGGCAGUGCCUGGAGUACUAGCAAUCUCCUCUACUCCUUCAGGAACACAUUCUUAACGCAACCGACUCAUCGGGCCAAGCUUGAGGAGGAGCACCAUGGCAAAUGUGACAGCUGCACACUUCGUUUCAAGGAGCUCACACUUGAGCAUCUAUCCAUCAGAAACAAUGGCUAUUUCUGGUCAGAUUGGAUUCAGGAGCCAAAGCAUGACUCACAACGGUUUAAGGUCUCUGAACAAGACGGAUAAGCUGCUAAUGAGGAUAAAAUCAAAGGCAGAGAAAAAGGUCUCUGCCACUGAGAAUGGCAGGCCUUCUGGCAAAAUCAUUUGUGGGCUUGGAAUGAACUUGGUCUUUGUUGGUGCUGAAGUUGCUCCUUGGAGCAAAACUGGUGGACUUGGUGAUGU